ACGUUAGCGGCGGACGGGUGAGUAACACGUGGGUAACCUACCUAUAAGACUGGGAUAACUUCGGGAAACCGGAGCUAAUACCGGAUAAUAUUUCGAACCGCAUGGUUCGAUAGUGAAAGAUUGUUUUGCUAUCACUUAUAGAUGGACCCGCGCCGUAUUAGCUAGUUGGUAAGGUAACGGCUUACCAAGGCGACGAUACGUAGCCGACCUGAGAGGGUGAUCGGCCACACUGGAACUGAGACACGGUCCAGACUCCUACGGGAGGCAGCAGCG
rnacentral:rRNA from 1 species